CCGUCUCAAAAAAAAAAAAAAAAAAAAGAAUUCUGUAAGUCAUAUACUUUCUGCCAGAGUUUCUACUGUAAUGAGGAUAAAAGAGAUUAACUACCUACCAAGGAUGUUUCUCACAUGGAAAACCACAAAUGUGAUCACAUCAAAAGUUAAGUAUCAGCAAGUUUCCGCCAUCCAUGGGGAAGGAAUCAGAAAAAUGAGCCUUACAAUUUGGAGGGUUAGUACAAGCAUCUUCCAGUUUCUUUUUCUUACUCUCGGGCAUUAAAUCAUCCAACCAGCUGAGUUCCCGCUUCGUGAACAACAAGUCCAUCAACUUUCUUACAAAUACCAGGGCUAACACCUGAAGUAAAUAAUAAACUAGUUUAA